rnacentral:rRNA from 1 species
AAGGUUGUUGCUGGCCUCCUCGGGGGCAUGUGCACGCCCGAGCUCUUAAUCCACUUACACCUGUGAACCCAAAAGUGGGGGUCGUCCCUUGGGGUGAUUCUCAUGUCUUCCAUAUACUCUUAUGCAUGUCUCGGAAUGUCUUUAUGUUGCCUAAGCGCAAUUAUAAUACAACUUUCAACAACGGAUCUCUUGGCUCUCGCAUCGAUGAAGAACGCAGCGAAAUGCGAUAAGUAAUGUGAAUUGCAGAUUUUCAGUGAAUCAUCGAAUCUUUGAACGCACCUUGCGCUCCUUGGUAUUCCGAGGAGCAUGCCUGUUUGAGUGUCAUUAAAUUCUCAACUUCACCGAUUUGCUUCGAGUGAAGCUUGGACUUUGGAGCGUGCUGGCCCUCGAUUGGGUCGGCUCCUCUUUAAAUGCAGCAGCGGAGUCUUCUUUGACUUUUGUGCCAUCGGUGUGAUAAUCAUGUUGCGCCGUGGGCCCUGGGUCUCAGUCCGCUUACAAUCGUCUUCGGACAGCUUAUGAAACGCUUGACCUCAAAUCAGGUAGGACUACCCGCUGAACUUAAGCAUAUCAAUAAGCGGAGGAAAAGAAACUAACAAGGAUUCCCCUAGUAACUGCGAGUGAAGCGGGAAAAGCUCAAAUUUAAAAUCUGGCGGUCCCUGGCCGUCCGAGUUGUAAUCUGGAGAAGCGUUUUCUGCGCUGGACGUGU